rnacentral:rRNA from 1 species
ACUUAAGCAUAUCAAUAAGCGGAGGAAAAGAAACCAACAGGGAUUGCCUCAGUAACGGCGAGUGAAGCGGCAACAGCUCAAAUUUGAAAUCUGGCCCUUUCAGGGUCCGAGUUGUAAUUUGCAGAGGAUGCUUCGGGUUCGGCUCCGGUCUAAGUUCCUUGGAACAGGACGUCAUAGAGGGUGAGAAUCCCGUAUGUGACCGGCCGCCACGCCCGUGUGAAGCUCCUUCGACGAGUCGAGUUGUUUGGGAAUGCAGCUCAAAAUGGGUGGUAAAUUUCAUCUAAAGCUAAAUAUUGGCCAGAGACCGAUAGCGCACAAGUAGAGUGAUCGAAAGAUGAAAAGCACUUUGGAAAGAGAGUCAAACAGUACGUGAAAUUGUUGAAAGGGAAGCGCUUGCAACCAGACUUGCCCGCGGGUGAUCAGCCGGUAUUCUUACCGGUGCACUCGCCCGUGGUCAGGCCAGCAUCGGUUCGGGCGGCUGGAUAAAGUCCACUGGAAUGUAGCUCCUCUCGGGGAGUGUUAUAGCCAGAGGUGCCAUGCAGCCCGCCCGGACCGAGGACCGCGCUUUGGCUAGGAUGCUGGCGUAAUGGUUGUAAGCGACCCGUCUUGAA